GAUUAAAUGAGCCUCAGCUGGACAGAACACAAGGGACCUGUGUAAAGCCCAGUAGUUGAGAGCAACUGUGUUCUGCAGAGGUAGUCUGUAGUUAUUCCGCGGGAGAAGGGAGGUGUGUUUGAGGCUACAGAGGCAAGUAGCCUAUAGUUACUCCCUGGGAGGAGGGUGUUGUGAAGCUAGCAAACCCAGGGAGGUGGGGAAAGCCAGAUGGUAAGGAAAGGGCUCAGGGAAAGACUGUAAGGUCCAGAAGGGAACAGACUUUGGCUGCUGACUAUAGGGUCCUUGACCCUGGAGUCCUGGCUUUCCCUGACAACUACUAAGGGAGUGGCACUGUGGGGCAGUGAAUGGGAAGACUGCUUAAGACAUAGAGAGGAAAGACUUUGAUACCCCCAAAGGGGCAAAUCCAUGCAGUGACCUGGCCGCAGGGCCAAGUCACAAAGAUGGAGUUGCAGAGAGAGAGAAUGGCAAUGGCACCUGCAGUGAGAAGCAGAAGAAGGCCUUUUACCUGGUGAAAGCUGAUUCCCCAGACUGACCAGAAGGAGGUUCCACUUGUGGAGGGGUGGGACUAAAGUAUGACAUGGCCCUCCGGCCAGGUCACCAGAAAAGGCAGAUCCCACUGCAGGAUUGGAGCAACCAUUGGGAGGCGGUGCUAGAAGACAAAAGCCUGCUAUGCCAUAGCCAGUCACAAAGGGUGGUGGAAAAUAGCACUCUUCAAAAGCGAGACAGAACUGGAAAUGAAAUGAAGACAUGGAAUUUAAGAGACGCUUUUGUACAGCAGCCCAAAAGUAAGUUGCCACCCAUGGCUAAAGAGCCCCACCAGAGCAGCCUGGUUUUAAGAGAUGGAAGCUUGAAUCUGAAGACCUGGCUAUCCCGCCUCCUGUUUGGACCACCCACAGAGGCACUUAGACCCAGUUGCCUUAUUUCCUGCUGGGACCACCCACAGAGGUCCCUUUAAAUAAUAAGCAAAAAAAAAAAUCUUGUAAAGGUGGACUAGUCCAAACAUACAUAAAAAAUCCACUUGAAAACGAAGAUAUUACACACAGGUGGAUGGGAGAAUGCCCAUGUAUUUGUGUAUGUAUAAACAAGAUAAAAUGGCUACUUCACUCCUACUGAAACCAAACCGAAAGAGCAGCCCGCCAAUUUCAGUGGGGAAUUCUGAGUAUGAUACUACUCAGCAUGACCAAGAGAAGUAAAGUCUGACCCUACAUAAGAAUCACAUGUGUUCACCUGCCUCUAUUGCUGUCCCAGAAGUGUGCCAUGGAUACUGCAAACAGAUUGCAUAUAGUGUCUAUCAUUCCUGGAGUGUCUUAUUACCCAUGCUUCAGAUAUGUAGUGUAAAGAUUCAGGACUAUCUCUGCUUCUGCCACUGGCUGCUAUCUCAGCCUCCUCAUUUGAAAGAAAAGACUGCUUCUCUGUGGCUGUUUUUCUUUUCUGCUGAGUCAUUCUGUCAGCACAUAAAUUCCUACUGUAUAUGAAUCAAGUCAAGGUGAAAAAUAAAGAAGUAAGUAGAACUCUGUUGAAGGAAACAAUCUGUGACUAUCUCUUCUUGGAACUAGAGACUUUUGGAGGCAUCUUUCUUCUGCUGCACAGUCCGAAAGGCCCGUGAUUUGCACUCUCUUCUAGCUAGAGGAAGGGUGAGGAGAAAAUUAUUUUUAUUGAACAUCGAAAGAACAUGCUUGUGAAUGAUGCUUGAAAACAAAGGUCAGACAGCUUAAGACAGAGUUACAAUGGCAGAGAAAGGACGGGGAAGGCUUUCCUGGUGGAUACAAAUGAAAUAGGCCCCUGAAGAAAGGGUCUUCCCACACCAUAUGGGAGGGGGAAACUCUGGGAAGAAGCAUCUAAAAGCUGACACACUACCUUGAUAGCCUCUUCCUGAUGGAAUCUGAGGACCAAACUGGACUAUAAACAAAAGAUAAUGACUAAAAUGUCAAGUGUAGGGUCCAACAGCUGUUCCCCAUGCCUAGGGGAGUAUCACUUCUAUGUUGUGCUACAUAGUUUCUUCACAGAAAGCUUAUAAUAAACUAUAAAUAGUCCUGGGAAAGUUGGAACUCUUAGCUCUCCAGUUGUUUAGGAGCUAAGCUGUCAAGCUGAGGGUUGGGCGGGGGGGGAGAGGGGGAGAGAAUGAGACCUUUGAUUCUGAGGUGAGUUUGCUGAGGGCUGGAAACAUUAAAGCUGUUUGAGUUAGAAGAUCUAAGAAGUUAUCAUGUGAGGAUUCAGAAUAAAAAAAGACGAGGACCACAUCAUACCAGAUAUUUAUGACCCCCGCUCCCUACCCCAGGAGAUGAAUAACUGAGAUGGUACAUGAAGAAGCUACUGGACUCUUUAUUCUAGAUGAUAUCAAAUGCAUUCCUCGGACAUCUGCCCUGAAGCAGAACUGGUAAACUUGUACUGUGUAUAGGGCAGAACUUCCCUUAAGGGAUGUGGCUGAUGCACAAUCACGCUUUUACUGAGCUGGGCCCUAGAACUAGCUGCCCUUAAUGCCCAUGUCAUUCCAUCUCUCCUGACUUAUUUUCAGUAUGAACACAGUUAGACCCAUAUUUAUUACCUUCUCCUUCUGUCUUAAUUUUUGUUUAUUUAUUUCAGAGAGUUGUUUUUAUUGUAUUAUAUGUGAAACUCUCAGAUGAGGUCACCGUCGGUACAGAUCCACCUCUUCCAUUGAUCCUCAUCAGGAUUAUCUGAGGUUGCGGCUCCCAGAGAUCUAGGACCAGAUACUUAGCUGGUGUAUAGGAGCGACAUCAACAAAGGAGCUAUCUGCUGAGAAUCUCUCCAGCCUAGUGAUUGAUGGCAUCAGAGACCACCUGCAAUAUACUCUCGAUUAUGUUUUUCCUUCUUAGUGCAAAGUCCCUGCAUGAGUUGAUGAAGUUUCUCUCUGCUGUGGUCUGGGAGGCACCAAGGCUGAUUUUGCUUAUUGAAUUUGGCUUCCACAUAGGCGAUAAGACUUUUGGAUUGGCUCAAGACUUCAUGGUCACCCUAUGGGGUUAUCUAAGGUGACUGAAGGCUCAAUCCAUACUCUGGAUUUGAUGUUUGAGUUAGGAUGAGAGAUUGGAGGGUUAGCUAUUAUUCCCAUGUCAUGAACUGAUCAUUACCUCCUGUGGCUUGAGGUGAGGACCAGUCUCUUCUGUAUGGACAGAAGACCUGUUCUGAGGGCCCUCCCUGAGAAACUCGUGGAACUGGAGGGCAUUGAGAGGGCUCUGCGAGAGAAUAUUUUUUAACCACUCUAUAUUGUUUCAGUAGGAGUGUAUAAAUAUUUUUUGUCCUUGACUACUAAUUGUGCACAAUGUUUCACAGAGCUUCCUUAGCAGCUGACUGGUCAUAUCCACUGAUGCAGAGGUGAGGAAGUGGGUCCAUGGACAUGCCUCCUUCUCACACAUUUUAGGGUGCCAUUUAGAAGAGCACAGAACUGUAUUGUCAUCAGCACCACUGGCCACAAAAGCGUCCAGAGCUUUAUUGCACUCUCCUCAUCCAUGUGCACAUCCACAAUGGGGCCAGCCAAAAUCUGGCUCUGUUUAUUUUAUAGCUCCCCCUAUUGUCUCUCUCCUCAUCUCAAAAACCAGUAUGUUUGACAUGCAAAACAGUUUGAAAUCUGAAUAUGCAGGAGGUGAGCUUGGUCUUUUCUCCAACACCACUAUUACUGAUGCUCAGACACAGGCAGGAAUGGGAGCAUUUAAAAUAAGUAGGAAGAAAUGGCUCAUUGUGUGUCUCGGAUUCCUCAGGAUCAUUAAGGGAGUGGGAGUUGGGAGUAGGCUGAAAGGAGCAGUGGCCAUCUGUGAUAACAGGGUGAGACUUACACUAUGAGUUUAGGUCGAAUUUAGCAGCUUUAAAUCGAAUUAACCCUGCACCCGUCCACACAACGAAGCCAUUUACUUCAACAUAAAUGGCUCCUGAUGAGGGGAGUAGUGGUGAAAUCAACAUUGCUGGUUUGAAUUAGGGUUAGUGUGGACGCAAUUUGACGGUAUUGGCCUCCUUGAGCUAUCCCACAGUGCACUGUUGUG